UUAUAAACAAUAAAUUAGAAAAAUAAGAUAGAUAUAUAUAAAUAAAUAGAUUUUCAAUAAAAGUAAGCAAUAAGUAAUAAUAUACGUAAAACAUGGUUUUGAAUAAUUACCUAAGAAGUUUUACAAUUUUUUAUUUUUUUUAAAUGUAUUACAUUAGUUUACAAUGCAGCUUUUUUUCAGGCUUUCUUUUCAAUACUUAUAAAAACAUUUUCUGAAUAUGGUAAUAACUGUAUUUUUUUAGGGCUUUGUUUUCCUUGUGCGGUUUUUGGUCAACGGCUUUUUUUCCCGGGGCUUUAUUAUCCUCAAUUUCUAAUAAUAGUUAUCUAAGUGGGAAGAAAUCUUUUAUUCAAGUUUUAAGCAAGUGAAACGAAAAUGUUGAAUUGCCGACUGUAGCGUACGCAGAAUUUCAGUUUGUCUAGGGUUUUCACUAUAGAUUUAUCAUAGACCCGCGUGAACUUCAUCCCCCGCACCCUAACUUUAUAGCUAAACUAGUAAAUAAUAUCAACAUUAAGCCCAAAUAAUUUUUCCAAAUUCCCAUA